GGUGAAGUCUGCCCGGUGAUAUUUAAACGGCCGCAGUACUCUGACUGUGCUAAGGUAGCAAAAUAAAUAGGCCUUUAAUUGGGGUCGAGUAUGAAAGGCAUCAUGGUCAAUAGCUGUCUCUCUUAAAUUUUAAAAAUUUGCUUAGAAGGUGAAAAUUCCUUCAAAAAAAUAUUAGACGAGAAGACCCUUAGAGUUUUUAAAGAAAUAGUUUUAUCUAUAGUUUUUUGUUGGGGCGACAUAGUAUCAAAAAACAUACUUUUAUACAAAACUUAUAAAAUAAAGAAUAUAACUACCUAAGGGAUAACAGCAUAAUUUUAUAAAAGAUUGUGACCUCGAUGUUGGACUAGGGACUACUAAUAUUAUCCGUAUA
rnacentral:rRNA from 1 species